UACGUAGGUGGCGAGCGUUGUCCGGAUUUACUGGGCGUAAAGGGAGCGUAUGCGGACUUUUAAGUGAGAUGUGAAAUACUCGGGCUCAACUUGAGUGCUGCAUUUCAAACUGGAAGUCUAGAGUGCAGGAGAGGAGAAUGGAAUUCCUAGUGUAGCGGUGAAAUGCGUAGAGAUUAGGAAGAACGCCAGUGGCGAAGGCGAUUCUCUGGACUGUAACUGACGCUGAGGCUCGAAAGCGUGGGGAGCAAACAGG
rnacentral:rRNA from 1 species